rnacentral:rRNA from 1 species
AUACAGAGGGUGCAAGCGUUAAGCGGAAUUACUGGGCGUAAAGCGCGCGUAGGCGGUUUAAUCAGUCGGAUGUGAAAGCCCCGGGCUCAACCUGGGAACUGCAUUCGAUACUGUUAAGCUAGAGUAUGGUAGAGGGAAGUGGAAUUCCAGGUGUAGCGGUGAAAUGCGUAGAUAUCUGGAGGAACAUCAGUGGCGAAGGCGACUUCCUGGACCAAUACUGACGCUGAGGUGCGAAAGCGUGGGGAGCAAACAGGAUUAGAUACCCUAGUAGUCC